rnacentral:rRNA from 1 species
UACGAGGGGUGCAAGCGUUACUCGGAAUUACUGGGCGUAAAGCGUGCGUAGGUGGUUCGUUAAGUCUGUCGUGAAAGCCCCGGGCUCAACCUGGGAAUGGCGAUGGAUACUGGCGGCCUAGAGUGCGGUAGAGGAGAGUGGAAUUCCCGGUGUAGCAGUGAAAUGCGUAGAGAUCGGGAGGAACAUCAGUUGCGAAGGCGGCUCUCUGGACCAGCACUGACACUGAGGCACGAAAGCGUGGGGAGCAAACAGG